GAUGAACGCUGGCGGCGUGCCUAAUACAUGCAAGUCGAGCGAACAGACGAGGAGCUUGCUCCUCUGACGUUAGCGGCGGACGGGUGAGUAACACGUGGAUAACCUACCUAUAAGACUGGGAUAACUUCGGGAAACCGGAGCUAAUACCGGAUAAUAUAUUGAACCGCAUGGUUCAAUAGUGAAAGACGGUUUUGCUGUCACUUAUAGAUGGAUCCGCGCCGCAUUAGCUAGUUGGUAAGGUAACGGCUUACCAAGGCGACGAUGCGUAGCCGACCUGAGAGGGGGAUCGGCCACAGUGGAAGUGAAACACGAGCCAGACUCCAGGGGGAGGCACCAGUGGGGAAUCUUCCGCAAGGGGCAAAAGCCUGACGGAGCAACGCCGCGUGAGGGAGAAAGUUCUCGGGAUCGAAAAGCUUUUUUAUUAGGAAAAAAAAAAUGUGAAAGAAACUAGGCACGUCUUGAGGGUACCUAAUAAGAAAGCCACGGCUAACUACGUG
rnacentral:rRNA from 1 species